UACAGAGGGGGGCAAGCGUUGUUCGGAAUUACUGGGCGUAAAGCGCACGUAGGCGGCUUAGCAAAUCGGAUGUGAAAUCCCUCGGCUCAACCAAGGAAGUGCAUCCGAAACUGCUGAGCUUGAGUACGAAAGAGGAUCGCGGAAUUCCCGGUGUAGAGGUGAAAUUCGUAGAUAUCGGGAGGAACACCAGUGGCGAAGGCGGCGUCUGGGUCGAUACUGACGCUGAGGUGCGAAAGCGUGGGGAGCAAACAGG
rnacentral:rRNA from 1 species